GGGGAUCAAUGAGGUCAAUGGCAUCUACUUCCAAUUCCACCACUGCCACUCAUAGUCCUUCAAGGAGUAGUAGACCACUCCCACAUUUGAAUACCCAGCCAAGGCGACGCCGUACAUGGUCUAUGGAGGUUAACAGUGGAACAAUCACCUGGUAAUUUGGGUAUGUGGUUGCUUAGAAAAGCCUAAUUAAUUACUUGAAGAACUUCUAGCUGGGAUUGGCACUUUCAGAGGCAGGCUUAUUUAUUGCUGUAAAUAACAAGGUUUCUCGGGUGAGGAAAGAUUAUUAUUAUUAUUACUACUACUAUUAUUUUGGCAAAAAUACACUUUUGGGUCAACUCAUGCGCACAGGGUGGAGGGACCAUUAAAGUAUUUCUUCGGACCAAUAGACACCAACAUAAAACCUCACGCACCAAAACUGUACUUUUUUUUUCUUCUCUUCCUCUUCUUCUUCCUCAUCCUCCUCUGGUGGAUCCUCCGGCAAGGGAGCGGGAAGUGGCGUUUUCAUGG
rnacentral:misc_RNA from 1 species